rnacentral:lncRNA from 1 species
CCUUGAUAAGUUCCUUUCCUGAGGAUGGCUCACCUCUCACAGUUCUGGACCAUUUCCGGAGACCUUCUCCCCUACCUCACCUCGCUCAUCAACGCAUCCUUGACCGCUGGCUACGUCCCUUCCGUCUUCAAGAGAGCGAGAGUUGCACCCCUUCUGAAAAAACCUACACUCGAUCCCUCCGAUGUCAACAACUACAGACCUAUCUGCUGCCUUUGAUACCGUGAACCAUCAGAUCCUCCUCUCCACCCUCUCCGAGCUGGGCAUCUCCGGCACCGCGCACGCUUGGAUUGCGUCCUACCUGACAGGUCGCUCCUACCAGGUGGCGAAUCGCAUCUCUGCAUGUCUGGCAGACAUAUCAGUGUGGAUGACGGAUCACCACCUCAAGCUGAACCUCGGCAAGACGGAGCUGCUCUUCCUCCCGGGGAAGGACUGCCCGUUCCAUGAUCUCGCCAUCACGGUUGACAACUCCCUUGUGUCCUCC